GGGGAAUAUUGGACAAUGGGCGAAAGCCUGAUCCAGCCAUGCCGCGUGUGUGAAGAAGGUCUUCGGAUUGUAAAGCACUUUAAGCGAGGAGGAGGCUCUUUUGGUUAAUACCCAAGAUGAGUGGACGUUACUCGCAGAAUAAGCACCGGCUAACUCUGUGCCAGCAGCCGCGGUAAUACAGAGGGUGCGAGCGUUAAUCGGAUUUACUGGGCGUAAAGCGUGCGUAGGCGGCUUUUUAAGUCGGAUGUGAAAUCCCCGAGCUUAACUUGGGAAUUGCAUUCGAUACUGGGAAGCUAGAGUAUGGGAGAGGAUGGUAGAAUUCCAGGUGUAGCGGUGAGAUGCGUAGAGAUCUGGAGGAAUACCGAUGGCGAAGGCAGCCAUCUGGCCUAAUACUGACGCUGAGGUACGAAAGCAUGGGGAGCAAACA
rnacentral:rRNA from 1 species